GCUCAAACAUGAUGAGUAUUGCGUCUACAUCAGGAUCUACUUCUUACGAAAAGAUAUCUUUGCCAUCUCCCAUGAGUGACAACGACUAUGACAACAUUGACAAAACUCCUUCUACAGCAGUACUUGAUGAUAAUAACAGUGAAGACAUGAUUGGUGUUUCGCCUUCCACAUCAAAACCAGGUUAGCAAAAGAAUUUUGUUAAAAAACAUUUGC